AAAUGAAUUUCGCUGAGGAUGAGCUCGCGUUGAUUAGCUAGUUGGUGAGUAAUGGCUCACCAAGGCUUCGAUCAGUAGCUGGUCUGAGAGGAUGAUCAGCCACACUGGGACUGAGACACGGCCCAGACUCCUACGGGAGGCAGCAGUGGGGAAUUUUCCGCAAUGGGCGAAAGCCUGACGGAGCAACGCCGCGUGAGGGACGAAGGCCUCUGGGCUGUAAACCUCUUUUCUCAAGGAAGAAGAUAUGACGGUACU
rnacentral:rRNA from 1 species